rnacentral:rRNA from 1 species
GUCGACGAGAGAAUGCUAGCUUGCUAUAAUUCUCUAGUGGCGCACGGGUGAGUAACACGUGAGUAACCUGCCCCCGAGAGCGGGAUAGCCCUGGGAAACUGGGAUUAAUACCGCAUAGUAUCGAAAGAUUAAAGCAGCAAUGCGCUUGGGGAUGGGCUCGCGGCCUAUUAGUUAGUUGGUGAGGUAACGGCUCACCAAGGCGAUGACGGGUAGCCGGUCUGAGAGGAUGUCCGGCCACACUGGAACUGAGACACGGUCCAGACACCUACGGGUGGCAGCAGUCGAGAAUCAUACACAAUGGGGGAAACCCUGAUGGUGCGACGCCGCGUGGGGGAAUGAAGGUCUUCGGAUUGUAAACCCCUGUCAUGUGGGAGCAAAUUAAAAAGAUAGUACCACAAGAGGAAGAGACGGCUAACUCUGUGCCAGCAGCCGCGGUAAUACAGAGGUCUCAAGCGUUGUUCGGAAUCACUGGGCGUAAAGCGUGCGUAGGCUGUUUCGUAAGUCGUGUGUGAAAGGCGCGGGCUCAACCCGCGGACGGCACAUGAUACUGCGAGACUAGAGUAAUGGAGGGGGAACCGGAAUUCUCGGUGUAGCAGUGAAAUGCGUAGAUAUCGAGAGGAACACUCGUGGCGAAGGCGGGUUCCUGGACAUUAACUGACGCUGAGGCACGAAGGCCAGGGGAGCGAAAGGGAUUAGAUACCCCUGUAGUCCUGGCAGUAAACGGUGCACGCUUGGUGUGCGGGGAAUCGACCCCCUGCGUGCCGGAGCUAACGCGUUAAGCGUGCCGCCUGGGGAGUACGGUCGCAAGAUUAAAACUCAAAGAAAUUGACGGGGACCCGCACAAGCGGUGGAGUAUGUGGCUUAAUUCGAUGNCACGCGAAAGACCUUACCUGNGCUUG